rnacentral:lncRNA from 1 species
AUGUUCUUCGACAGACCCACACAGAAGCAUGCUCCCGGAAGCUGCUGCUGAGGAGUCCCCCACUUUGCUGCUGCCUGUGCUGCUGGUAGUGGGCUGGAUCGUGGGCUGUGUGGUGGUCCUCUACUUCGUCUUUUUCUAGGGAGGAAGCAGAAGAUCCUGAUCAAGACUUUAAUGCAUCUCAUAUAUUAUGUAAAAGUAUUAUUAUAAAGGUACCAGGCCACCUUCUACAAAAAGCCUAAAUUGAUUCUCCAAAGCUUUUAGUACACAGGAAAACAUCAUAAUGUUGAUCCAGCAUAACUGUCUGUCAUGGAUACCUGUAUUUAUUGUUUUUCAUUAGUAGAUGUUUUUUUCUUUGUAUAAAUGGGGCCAUAAUAACAGAAAAUGACUCAUUUGCAUACCACAGUAAAUGUCAAUGAUAUUUCCUGUCCCCAUUAUCGUAAGAGAGGAAAAAGCUGUGUAAUCUCAGAAAGAGCUACAGUACCUAACACAAACAUGUUAAUCACUGCGCAUCUCAGAAUUCACUAAUCCAUUAAUCAUUUAUUCUAUCCAGCAAUCCCCAACACACUGUUUAUACUACCAGCAGAACUUUAUUUAUAUACCAUAAAACUAUAAUUGUAUAUUGCUGUGGAAAGGUUUGAAAACACUUCCAGUUUUACUAUAUAUUUUUGUAAUUUUAUGUA